ACUCAAAUGAAUUGACGGGGACCCGCACAAGUGGUGGAGCGUGUGGUUUAAUUCGAUACUAAGCGAAGAACCUUACCCAGGCUUGACAUCCCGAGAAAGUCCCUGAAAGGGGACCGUGCCGCAAGGAGCUCGGUGACAGGUGUUGCAUGGUUGUCGUCAGCUCGUGCUGUGAAGUGUCCCGUUAAGUCGGUUAACGAGCGCAACCCGCAUCCUAUGUUGUAUUUUUCAUAGGAAACCGCCUCAGUUAAUGGGGAGGAAGGUGCGGAUGACGUCAAAUCAGCAUGGCCCUUACGCCUGGGGCUACACACGCGCUACAAUGGGUAGUAACAAUAGGUUGCCAAGUCGUAAGACGGAGCUAAUCCUCUCAAAUCUACCCUCAGUUCGGAUUGGGGGCUGCAACUCGCCCCCAUGAAGCCGGAAUCACUAGUAACGGCCGGUCAGCCAUACGGCCGUGAAUACGUUCUCGGGUCUUGUACACACCGCCCGU
rnacentral:rRNA from 1 species